GUGCUCGCUUGGGUAGCCACAUAUACUAAAAUUGGAAUGAUACAGAGAAGAUUAGCAUUGCCCCUGCGCAAGGAUGACUUGCAAAAUCGUGAAGCAUUCCAUAUUUUU
ensembl:snRNA U6 U6 spliceosomal RNA